AUUGAACGCUGGCGGCAUGCCUAACACAUGCAAGUCGAACGGUAACGCGGGGGCAACCCUGGCGACGAGUGGCGGACGGGUGAGUAAUACAUCGGAACGUGCCCAGUAGUGGGGGAUAGCCCGGCGAAAGCCGGAUUAUACCGCAUACGACCUACGGGUGAAAGCGGGGGAUCGCAAGACCUCGCGCUAUUGGAGCGGCCGAUGUCAGAUUAGCUAGUUGGUGGGGUAAAAGCCUACCAAGGCGACGAUCUGUAGCUGGUCUGAGAGGACGACCAGCCACACUGGGACUGAGACACGGCCCAGACUCCUACGGGAGGCAGCAGUGGGAAUUUUGGACAAUGGGGGGCAACCCUGAUCCAGCCAUGCCGCGUGCGGGAAGAAGGCCU
rnacentral:rRNA from 1 species